UCAUACGAACAAAAUGUAUGGACGGGGCCAGGCUUUGCAAAUUGCACCCAAAUCUCUCAGUCUCAUUCAACUUCAGCCAACCUGCAGGCACAGCUUCCAACAUUGCCCCGUUCUUUAGCAGCAGGUUCCGAGUAACCGAUAGCUUCGAAGUGAAGUAGGAAGAGGUGAAGCAGUGGAAAUCACAAGCCUCGGCGGACUAGAGGUUCUCAAGCUCCGGAAGGUGGAUGCCGCCGGCGUCAAUAACGCUGAUGGAUCUCAGAGUCUAGGCAAGCAUCCGCCGACAAAAGGAGCCAACCCUUUCCCUUGCCUCGAAUGCUCCGGCACUAUUAUCGCCGUCGGAAACUUAGUCGACUGUUGGAAGGUCGGGGACUCGGUUUUAUGCAUUUGAAUAAGAUAAAUGGAGGAAGAACCAAUGUGUAUAGAAGACAAGAACAACCAGAAAGCUGCUGGACUACGAAACAGAAGCCCAGAACAUAAGGCAGCUAUAGUAGCUGAGGUAGAGGGACAUGUUUGGCCUGCUAUUGAAGCAGGAAAGUUGAAGCCCAUUGUAUAAGCAGCAGAAGCUCGCAGGAUCUUACAAAGAAAUAAUCAUAUCGGUAAAAUAAUUCUAGUUCCAUGAACAAAACAAAACAAAAAUUGUGAACCAGUCUAAUAGAUCGACAAAUAGUGGCUUCUUUCAUACAGUAUAAAUAGUGCCAAUGAUAUUGUUGUUUAUUUACUUUAGCAAUGAGAAAUAAUAGGUUCACUUUCAAUGCCAAUGACCCCUUGCCAUAUAAAGCCCUCUUAAUUCUAUCUAAU